GCCGAGUACGGGCCAUGAGGCGGGGUAAUUCUUAUGAUGGGGACGUUGUCGGGAUUGUUGUGGCGUAAAGGGCGCGUGGGCGGGUGGUUGCUGCGUGAGUGAAAGCCACUGGCGUGACUGGUUGCUUGCUUUCGAUACGGGCAGACGGGAGGUAUUGAUGUGAGAACGGAAUUCCUGGUGUAGCUGUGAAAUGCGCAGAUAGCAGGAGGAACACCGGUGGCGAAGGCGGUUCUCUGGGCAUGUCCUGACGCGGAGGAGCGAAAGUGUGGGGAGCGAACAGGAUUAGAUACCCUAGUAGUC
rnacentral:rRNA from 1 species